ACAAGUAGUCAGAGCCCGUUAAUGGGUGAUGGCGUGCCUUUUGUAGAAUGAACCGGCGAGUUACGAUUUGAUGCAAGGUUAAGCAGUAAAUGUGGAGCCGUAGCGAAAGCGAGUCUGAAUAGGGCGUUUAGUAUUUGGUCGUAGACCCGAAACCAGGUGAUCUACCCUUGGUCAGGUUGAAGUUCAGGUAACACUGAAUGGAGGACCGAACCGACUUACGUUGAAAAGUGAGCGGAUGAACUGAGGGUAGCGGAGAAAUUCCAAUCGAACCUGGAGAUAGCUGGUUCUCUCCGAAAUAGCUU
rnacentral:rRNA from 1 species